AGGGACGUGGGAGACGGGUCCGCCCCCUCGAAGCCGGGUACCGGAGCCCCGGGAGGCCGCGAGUCCCCCGGAACCCAGGCUGGGGAGCCCGGCACCGAGGGCCGCGGGGCAGCAGAGCGAGCCCGGCUCUGUCGUGGCCCGGUCUCCCACGGAGGAGCCCGGGCUGGACAGGGCCGGCGAGGGGUCGCAGAAGGAGCCUAAUGUCAGCGGGGGCUCUGCUGAGGGCGCCCACCAAGAAAUGCGCCCGACCAGCCUGCUCUUUCCGGGUCGUCUCUGUGACUGGCACCCAGUCUGCGCCCUCCCACCGCCCCGGCAUCUCCUUCGCCGUCCCCUGCUUCCCUCCAGCCACCCAGGAUGCUCUUCUUUUCCUGUUUCACCCCUGAGGCUGCUACCGCGUGUGUGAAGAGAUGGGCGGAUUGGGAAUCAGAAGCCGAGCUGGACACAAACUCAUUCCUAAAAUAUGCACAUGGAAGCUAUGGUAACCAUGGAGACGGGGCAGGUGGCAAGGAUAAGCGGAGACAGACAGUGAGAGAGACCAAUCGCCACAGACCGGGAGAGAGAAGCUGGCCAUUCGGUCUCCUUCCAGCAAGAUGGGAAAAAAUGGGUCUGAGCAAAACUGAGGGGAGCUGAGGUCCAGGCUGGCCGUGCUGCAGCGCCCAGGGAAGGCGGAGUGAGGAUGUGCGCCGACAUUUACACUGUAAGAAGGCAGCCGGAUCUCUCGCCUCUCUGCCCAGUGCGGACUCGCUCUGUGGCCCCCACUCGUUUCUCUGCACUCCUCUGCAGCGUGCCAUGUGCCCCGGGUGGCAGGUCAGGUCUGGCGCACAGGCGCGCGUGAGAACACCGAGCUCCAAGAACAGGCAUCUGCCGGAGCUCUGCGGAGAGCUGGGAUGGUCCCAGUCUGGGUCUCGGAGGCGGCUCCCCGGGAACACUUAGGUUUGUUGGGGCUCAGGGGAGAUCCGCUAAGCAAGGGAAGUCAGGAUUGGAGCCUCUAGGUUUUGAGGGUUUGUGUGCAUGGGUGGGGUAACGGUUUGGUGCCUGACGCCCCCACCCGCAGAGACUGGGCUAUAAAUAGCAAGCAGAGCUCCGCCCCGC